ACGAACGCUGGCGGCAGGCCUAACACAUGCAAGUCGCGCGAGGACUUCGGUCCUAGCGGCGGACGGGUGAGUCACGCGUGGGAACGUGCCCUUUGCUUCGGAAUAGCCCUGGGAAACUGGGAGUAAUACCGGAUGAGCCCUUUGGGGGAAAGAUUUAUCGGCGAAGGAUCGGCCCGCGUUGGAUUAGGUAGUUGGUGGGGUAAUGGCCUACCAAGCCGACGAUCCAUAGCUGGUUUGAGAGGAUGAUCAGCCACACUGGGACUGAGACACGGCCCAGACUCCUACGGGAGGCAGCAGUGGGGAAUCUUAGACAAUGGGGGAAACCCUGAUCUAGCCAUGCCGCGUGAGCGAUGAAGGCCUUAGGGUUGUAAAGCUCUUUCAGCUGGGAAGAUAAUGACGGUACCAGCAGAAGAAGCCCCGGCUAACUCCGUG
rnacentral:rRNA from 1 species